UCAGCCAGGCAGGACAGGGGUGCAGGACAGGGGCAACCUUGGAGAUCCCUGUGGUUUUGCUUCAGCAUGUCUCUUUCUCGAGGUCUCUCCUUGAAGACUGAGAGAGAAUUCACUUUCACGUACGUGAGCACAAGGAGGACCCUCUUUGGAGUUUUCUUCUUUUCUUUUCUUGAUUUUGCUAGAAAACAGAGGUCCCUGUAUAGAAGGACUUGUCUGUGCAUGUGGAGUGGAGGGCAGUGCGGGGGAGGUUCCACUCCAACUCUCAUUGCGGGAGGCCCUCCCAAAGACAUGUGGCUGGAAUAGUGCUCUAAGAGUGACUCCCUCUGGUGGUGACCUGGGACAUCUGGUGAGAACUCUCAGCUUUCUGAUUCUCAGAGUCUCAGUGCUGAUUGGGCGAGCAUGGGGCUAUUGUGAGGGAGGAGACUCAGGUCCUUGUUACUCGCUUUUCAGACCAAGGAAAUAAGCCAUAACCAAACAUGUGUUCGAUUGCU